AAGUCGUAACAAGGUUUCCGUAGGUGAACCUGCGGAAGGAUCAUUAACACGUAUCCAACGUUAAACCCCCCGUGAACCUUUAUUGUAGUCGUGCCCUCUGUUGGAAAUACGCAAUCCCUGGUAAAUCAUCGCCGAACAGUUUUGAUUCAGGGACUUCGUUGGUCUGGGUAAGAAGACGCGAGGCAAGUGGUCUGGCAAAAAAAAAGCAAGUGGUCUGGCUGAAAGUGUCACUAGCUCUGUAAGGAUGGCGCAGUAACGAUCGCUAGAGGCCGACACGGCCGGCGACUGGACCGCUGGGUUUUAACCCCUCUGAUGACAUUUGCAUGAAAACGGGCCUGCGCUUAAUUGUGCGGCCACCAAACUUCGAACAACUGUUAACAAUGGAUAUCUUGGUUCUC
rnacentral:misc_RNA from 1 species